rnacentral:rRNA from 1 species
GUGGGGAAUAUUGCGCAAUGGGCGAAAGCCUGACGCAGCAACGCCGCGUGGGGGAUGAAGGUUCUCGGAUUGUAAACCCCUUUCGAUCGGAACGAAUCUCCUCCUGGUAAAUAAUCAGGAGGAUCGACGGUACCGGGAGAAGAAGCCACGGCUAACUCUGUGCCAGCAGCCGCGGUAAGACAGAGGUGGCGAGCGUUGUUCGGAUUUAUUGGGCGUAAAGCGAACGCAGGUGGUUUGGUAAGUCAGAGGUGAAAGUCCACAGCUUAACUGUGGCACUGCCUUUGAUACUGCCUUUCUAGAGUGCAUGAGGGGGAAGCGGAAUUCCGAGUGUAGAGGUGAAAUUCGUAGAUAUUCGGAGGAACACCGGUGGCGAAGGCGGCUUCCUGGCAUGUAACUGACACUCAUGUUCGAAAGCGUGGGUAGCAAACAGGAUUAGAAACCCGUGUAGUCC